CAGGGCUCCCCAGGACUGCGAGGACCCCCAGGACCACCAGGACCCAUCGGCCCUCCAGGCUUCCCUGGAACGCCGGGCGCCCCCGGACUGCCCGGUCUGCAAGGGGAGCGUGGCCCUGCAGGGCUGGCUGGAGCCAAGGGGGAGCCGGGACCUCCAGGACAACCGGGAUACCCUGGGGCCACGGGG